CCCCCCAUAGUUCAAGGGAUAGAACAAAAGACUUCUAAUCUUUAGGUGCAAGUUCGAAUCUUGCUGGGGGGA
rnacentral:tRNA from 1 species